rnacentral:rRNA from 1 species
AGAGAGAGACAUGCGCGCAUAUCAAUAAGCGGAGGAAAAGAAACUAACUAGGAUUCCCUCAGUAACGGCGAGUGAAGCGGGAAGAGCUCAAAUUUGAAAUCUUCAAGGUUCUACCUUGACGAAUUGUAGUUUAAAGAAGUGUUUUUCUGUUGGAGUUUUGGUAAAAGUUCUUUGGAAUAGGACAUCAUAGAGGGUGAGAAUCCCGUAUUUGACCAUUAUUUCCAGCUUUGUGAUACACUUUCAAAGAGUCGGAUUGUUUGGGAAUGCAGUCCAAAAUGGGUGGUAAAUUUCAUCUAAAGCUAAAUAUUGGCGAGAGACCGAUAGCGAACAAGUACCGUGAGGAAAGAUGAAAAGAACUUUGAAAAGAGAGUUAAACAGUACGUGAAAUUGUCAAAAGGGAAGCGUUUGACACCAGUGUUGUUUUCCUCGAAAAUCAAUUAAAAAAGGCAGGAUUUUGUGUUGUAUUGACUUUAUCAGCUUUCUGCACUCUUUUCUUGUCUUUUUUAAUGCACUUUUCGUUUAACAAGUCAACAUCAAUUUCUUUUGUUGUAAAAGGGUCAUUGGAAGGUGGCUUUCUUUUCGGAGAAAGUGUUUAUAGCCUUUGGCCUCUGCAAUCGGAGAGAUUGAGGUCUGCAGCGUAGAUCCUUCGGGGUUAGAUACAUUUGUGCUAAGUUAUAGCCUUUCAUAGACAACUUGUUGACUAUGAUCAGUCAUGUAGCUUACUCGCUUAUGCUAUUUUACCUACGCUUAGGAUGUUGAUGUGAUACUGCGAGCA